rnacentral:rRNA from 1 species
GACGAACGCUGGCGGCGUGCCUAAUACGUGCAAGUAGAACGCUGAAGAGAAGAGCUUGCUCUUCUUGGAUGAGUUGCGAACGGGUGAGUAACGCGUAGGUAACCUGCCUGGUAGCGGGGGAUAACUAUUGGAAACGAUAGCUAAUACCGCAUGAUAUUAAUUGUCGCAUGAUAAUUAAUUGAAAGAUGCAAUUGCAUCACUACCAGAUGGACCUGCGUUGUAUUAGCUAGUUGGUGAGGUAACGGCUCACCAAGGCGACGAUACAUAGCCGACCUGAGAGGGUGAUCGGCCACACUGGGACUGAGACACGGCCCAGACUCCUACGGGAGGCAGCAGUAGGGAAUCUUCGGCAAUGGGGGGAACCCUGACCGAGCAACGCCGCGUGAGUGAAGAAGGUUUUCGGAUCGUAAAGCUCUGUUGUAAGAGAAGAACGGGUGUGAGAGUGGAAAGUUCACACUGUGACGUAUCUACCAGAAAGGGAC